UUGUAUUGCCUGGCGUGGAGCCGGGGUAAUGCGUAAGCUGCGGUGGUGAUCUGGUUUUAUUGGGGUUAAAGGGAGAGUAGAACGGAGAUUAAGCGUGUUGUGAAAUGUAGAUGCUCAACAUCUGCACUGCAGCGCGAACUGGUUUCCUUGAGUACGCACAAAGUGGUCGGAAUUCGUGGUGUAGCGGUGAAAUGCUUAGAUAUCACGAAGAACUCCGAUUGCGAAGGCAGCUCACUGGAGCGCAACUGACGCUGAAGCUCGAAAGUGCGGGUAUCGAACAGGAUUAGAUACCCGAGUAGUC
rnacentral:rRNA from 1 species